rnacentral:rRNA from 1 species
UACGUAGGGUGCAAGCGUUAAUCGGAAUUACUGGGCGUAAAGCGUGCGCAGGCGGUUUUGUAAGUCUGACGUGAAAUCCCCGGGCUCAACCUGGGAAUUGCGUUGGAGACUGCAAGGCUAGAAUCUGGCAGAGGGGGGUAGAAUUCCACGUGUAGCAGUGAAAUGCGUAGAUAUCUGGAGGAAUACCGGUGGCGAAGGCGGCAUUCUGGACCGACAUUGACACUAAAGCGCGAAAGCCAGGGGAGCAAACGGG